UCACAACUUAACUGGUUGCCUAUCCGAC
rnacentral:sRNA from 1 species